UUAUCAUCAUCCUCAUCAUCGAAAAGAUUCAAGCCGCUAACAUCCCACUUAGCAUCGGUGUAAUCGAAGCUCGAGCUGCUCACAUAAUACUUAACCUCAUGAAACAAGUUGAGAUUAUCGACCAGCUUAUGAAACACAUUACAUCCACAACACUGCACGAAGACAGUGCCAUCAGUGUAAGCAUGAGGAUUAAUAGCUCUUGUAGUUCUUUGCCCACAUACGUUACAAGUGAAAGCAACACGCAUUCGCCUACGAGGCGAUUUAGUGAAUAAUGACCAUGGAAAUGUGGAAA